rnacentral:rRNA from 1 species
UACGUAGGGACCAAGCGUUGUUCGGAUUUACUGGGCGUAAAGGGCGCGUAGGCGGCAAUUCAAGUCAUCUGUGAAAUCUCCGGGCUUAACCCGGAACGGUCAGGUGAUACUGUUUUGCUAGAGUGCGGAAGGGGCAAUCAGAAUUCUCGGUGUAGCGGUGAAAUGCGUAGAUAUCGAGAGGAACACCAGAGGUGAAGACGGGUUGCUGGGCCGACACUGACGCUGACAGCGCGAAAGCCAGGGGAGCAAACGGG